rnacentral:sRNA from 1 species
GCCCCUGGAGGGCCUAGGGGAGGAGCCUGCCUGGCUGGAACUGGGAGGGCUCUUGCUCAAACACAAAGCAGCCAGAGGAGGUUCCAGGCGCCUGCUGGCAGCUCUGAACCGGCUUCUUUCUCUUCCUGCCCUCCAGUCUCAGUGGUAAAAACGCCGCCGGACAGAUGGCUAAUGCUGAAGCAAGGAUGGAGGCCCGGAGUCCCACACCUCCCCAGCACCCAACCUCCUACACAACCGUGCAUGUGCGCGUGUGCGUUAUGUUCAUGCCACAGCGGCAUACCUGUAGUGGUCAGAGUACAAGAGGACAAAUUGAUUUUUUGUUUUUUUUUUCCGGACAGGAGCUUGUGUAACACUGACUGGGUUGGAACGCUUGCUUUGUAGACCAGGAUGGCCUUGAACUCACCUGCCUCUUCUUGCCAAAUUCUGGUAUUAAAGGAGCCAGCUUUGUCAGCAUCCCUGACAUCUGAGCUGCCCAGGCUGCACAGGACCAAGGGCUAUCUUCCAAUGGAUGUUGGAAGCCCGGAAGCCCCUUGACUGUUACCAGGCCGGGGUGUGGAGUGAUCCUCACAGGAGCUGCUGGGUUCUCUUGCUCUCUGGGCUUGCUUCAGGAUUUUUUCUUGAGCAGCCAUGGGACCUCACAAAGGAGUAGCACCUGAAUCAGCCUGCAAAGGCAUCUUCCACCAGUCCUAGGACCUGCAGGGGGCAGGGGGUGUUGCAGGCAGAUCUCCGUCUGACCCUGUCAUCUGAGUCACCCCAAUAAAGGUGUCAAGAGCUCUCCAGUGGUCCAGAUGGGACCCAUGCA